rnacentral:misc_RNA from 1 species
GCAGGGUAUGAGAGAUUUAUCAGCACAAGAAAUCGGAGUGGUGCAUGACUUCCUCUAAAUCCUCAUCACGACGCCCAGCAGCAGCAGACGGCAGUCAAGGGCUCUAGGUGCUUCUUAACGAGAUAGAGAACAGACGCGGCCAAGAGGAUAGAGGCAAAAGGAGUAAACGAAGAAGAAGAAUGGGUAUGAGGCAGAGAAAGCGAAGUGUUGAAGUAUGGAAGAGAAAAUGAGGGACGAG